rnacentral:misc_RNA from 1 species
GAUGAAGAACGCAGCAAAAUGCGAUAAGUAAUGUGAAUUCAGAAUUCAGUGAAUCAUCGAAUCUUUGAACGCACAUUGCGCCCGCCAGUAUUCUGGCGGGCAUGCCUGUUCGAGCGUCAUUUCAACCCUCAAGCACAGCUUGGUGUUGGGACUCGCGUUAAUUCGCGUUCCUCAAAUUGAUUGGCGGUCACGUCGAGCUUCCAUAGCGUAGUAGUAAAACCCUCGUUACUGGUAAUCGUCGCGGCCACGCCGUUAAACCCCAACUUCUGAAUGUUGACCUCGGAUCAGGUAGGAAUACCCGCUGAACUUAAGCAUAUCAAUAAGCGGAGGA